rnacentral:rRNA from 1 species
AUGGCCAUGGUUGCACCUGAGAUAUGUUACAUUGACCUCCUUGAUGAAGACAUCCUUGCUAAAAUCUUUGCCUGCCUGCCGGAGCCGACGAGCAUCGCCCACUCUACCCUCGCCUGCAAACCGUGGUGUCAUGUCAUCACUGAUCACGGCAUCCUUCGCCAACACCGUCCGCCGGCCCUUUGUGGCAUUUUCCAAGAGGUCUACUCACCAGAAUUAGGCAAGCAUCGCAUGAUUUUUAGUCCCACCAACCAGGUGGAAUCACCGGAUCUUGUUGAGAAGAUCAAUAACGUCCAAACCAAUAUUGCCAAGUCCUUGCCCGGUGGCCCUUGGUCCAUCGUAGAUUCCUUGGAGAACCUUCUCCUCCUUUGGCAUGUACGCCCCAUCAACGACUCAGGGGCCAUGGAGAUAUGCGCGAUAUACAACCCUAUCAACCAUGACUUUCAGGAACUCCCUCCGGUGGUCAACUCCCGGUACAUCAAGUUCUUUGGUGCUUCCAUGUUGCGUGAUGACUCAGCAACUUCCUCAGAUCUGUCUUUCAAAGUGGUGUGCGUGGUGGCAGUGCUUAGUGACCAUGCUGAUGAGUGGAUCUACCAGACGUGUGUACAUUCGGGUGGCUCUGACAAUGGUGGCAGCUGGAGCGUCCUUCCAUAUCGGGCCAGCAGCAGGAUGACCCACAUCUGGUCCAUUAGUGGUAUUUGUGUUAGACAGGCAACUUGUGUUGGUGCUGCGCUAUUCCGUAACAUUCGAUACCUGCGCAGUACGGCGGCCUCUUACACUGAUUCCAUGUGGGUGUUGAUGUUGGACAAGCGCACUGGCGGGACUUCCCUGAUGGUCACGCCGCCCAAUAGCUGGAUGCUGCCGGAUGGCGGCGCGUUUGUGGAUUAUGGCAGGGGAAACGACGAAAAGUUGUGGUUCGUGUGCAUCGAUAGGCUCCUCGUGCUUCGGCUCUACAGCCACCCGAAGCCCCAAGAAAGCAAUGCUACUCAACUCAGCGAGCAGUGCUGUCUGGAGGGAAAGGUGGAGCCACAUCCGCUCAUCAUGGAGCUUGUCGUUGAUGCAACUGGCGCCGACAAGCAGUGUGCUCACAAUGUGUGUUCAUGCCAUGGGUACGUCUUCUUCAGCAUAGAAAAGUACGGGUAUUUCGCGGUGCAUCUGAGGAGUAUGCGUGUGCAGCGGCUGAGCGGCGUCCCUGGGAACUACAGGGGCCGUCUUUAUCCCUUCAUGUGUUGUAAUCUGAAUGAAUUAUUCUGA